CUCGCAGGUGCAUCGUACUUCGCCAACACUUUCAACCCUCCCGAUAGAACAGGCGCUGCAAUGCAAGAUUGCUUCGAGCAAUGCAAAUCCACUUGCUCCUGUGCGGCGUUCUUUUUCGACCAGGCGCUCCAGAAUUGCUUUUUCGUAGAAGACGUCCUGGGAAGCUUGACGGUAGACUCGAACAAGACUCAGCAACUGUUCGGCUUUCUGAAGUACCAGAAUUACUCCAGGUUAGUGCCUGUUGACAACUCAUCGUCAGACACUCCAAAGCUCCUAGUGAUCGGAAUUACCUCUGGAGGAGCUGCUGUAGCCAUUGUAACUUUUGCGUUCCUUUUCACGAUCCUGCAUCGAAGGAGGGUCAUGCUCAAGGAACUAAACAGUUUCCUUACCGGUGUACAAGCUUCGCCUUACAGGUUCUCGUUCAGCAGCCUAUACUCUGCAACAAAAGGAUUCACAAAGGUUUUAGGAAGCGGAGGUUGCGGCACAGUGUACGAAGGAAUGCUUCACAACGGGAUGAAGCUGGCAGUGAAGAAACUCAGCACACAGCACGGACAAAAGGAGUUUGUAACAGAAGUCUCGGCUCUGGGAAACAUAAGCCACAUCAACAUUGUCAAACUCUAUGGCUUCUGUGCCGAUGCUUCACACAGGCUGCUCGUCUACGAGCUCAUGCCCAAUGGUUCCUUGGACAGAUGGAUUUUCUCCGACAACAAGGACAAACUGGACUGGAAACUUCGACACAGCAUUGCCCUCGACACUGCUCGAGGACUGGCCUACUUGCACGAGGAAUCCAGAGACUCGAUCAUCCACUUGGAUAUCAAGCCACAAAACAUCCUCCUGGGUGACAAGUUUGAGGCCAAAGUCGCAGACUUUGGCAUGGCGAAGCUACUCAUGGACAGAGAUCAAAAUGGAGUGGUCACUGGAGUGAGAGGAACUCCAGGAUAUCUAGCUCCAGAGUGGCUGCUACACUCAACAGCGACCAAGAAAUGCGACGUCUACAGCUAUGGAAUGGUGCUCCUGGAGCUCAUUGGCGGCAGGAAAAAUCUAGACUGCUCCAAGAUGGAGUCGCCACUGAGCUGGUACUUCCCAGCCUGGGCCAUGAGCGAAAUCCGGAAAGGGAACACGAUGCAAGUGGUGGAUCCGAGCGUCAAGGACUCGGCAGACACAAGGCAGGCAAAGAAUAUGAUCCACAUCGCAUUCUGGUGCACGCAAGAUGAUCCAGCAGCUAGACCGACAAUGGAUGCAGUAGUGCGAAUGCUGGAGAGCGAGGAGGAGAUCGAGGAGCCGCCGCUUACCUUCCAGUUCGAUGUCCAAGCGCCUGGAAUCCUCACCAUCACCUCGAGC
rnacentral:lncRNA from 1 species